AAUAGAACUAAUUAUCAAGAAACAUGAAGUUGAUCACUUUAUUUGCUUUAUUGGGUCACCAAAAAAUUUGAUGGACGGGAAAUGGCACCCUGUCUUUUGAGUUUGACACCUGUGAUUUAGCAUGUGCUCUUAAAAAGAUUGUUCCCUUAAAUGUUAGACAGUUUGUGUUGCUGUAAAUGGAAAACCCGGGACAGGCAGGUAACCUUACUGAAAAGACCUGUGUGUGUGUGUGUGUGUGUCUCCAUUGCUGUCUCGCCACCUCAUUCCACAGACAGGUGAUUAAUAAACAUUAAACAAUCCCUCCUCUCUCAAACACACCGGAAUCUUCUUGACGGGAAGAGCAGCAUAUGUUUGCCUGCAGGCACACACACGGAGAUGGAGAGCGGCCCUGCUGAGUGUCAGAUAAGGGGCGGGAGACGGCGGUGUUGGGGGGGGGGCAGAGUGGGUGAUGGAGGAGGAGAGCGGAGGUUAGGUUACUGAGAGGAGUAAUGAGAUGGGAGGAGAGCAAGAGAGAUAAGACAGGUAUUUGAGAGGAUGUGUGCGGCCCCGGGAAAGCUGGAAUAGCGUUUGGUGGACCAGGAGAGCUGGUCCAUGGGAAGUAAGUCACGCACAAACAGAUGGUUGAAUCUGAGUUGUUUGGCUUAUUGGACAUUGGGGGUCAAACCUCUGCAUGGGCUCACCCCCGUCAUUGUGUUCAAGGCUGCAGAUGGAGCGGAGCCCCCUGGAGUCUAUUUUAGGCCCCCUUAAUUUUACCAUAGUCACCAUGUUAAGAGAUUUUUAACCAAGGUUAGCACAGUUUGAUGCCGACAGGAGGGCGAAGUUCCAUGAUCCAUCUGUAGCGUUUGUCUUGAAUGUUGAACUGCGGGGAAUCAUGUUAAGAAGGCAC